UGGGAAUUUUGGACAAUGGGCGAAAGCCUGAUCCAGCAAUGCCGCGUGUGUGAAGAAGGCCUUCGGGUUGUAAAGCACUUUUGUCCGGAAAGAAAUCCUUGGCUCUAAUACAGUCGGGGGAUGACGGUACCGGAAGAAUAAGCACCGGCUAACUACGUGCCAGCAGCCGCGGUAAUACGUAGGGUGCAAGCGUUAAUCGGAAUUACUGGGCGUAAAGCGUGCGCAGGCGGUUUGCUAAGACCGAUGUGAAAUCCCCGGGCUCAACCUGGGAACUGCAUUGGUGACUGGCAGGCUAGAGUAUGGCAGAGGGGGGUAGAAUUCCACGUGUAGCAGUGAAAUGCGUAGAGAUGUGGAGGAAUACCGAUGGCGAAGGCAGCCCCCUGGGCCAAUACUGACGCUCAUGCACGAAAGCGUGGGGGGACGCAAAACAGGAUUUAGAUACCCUGGUAGUCCACCCCUAAANGAUGUCAACUAGUUGUUGGGGAUUCAUUUCCUUAGUAACGUAGCUAACGCGUGAAGUUGACCGCCUGGGGAGUACGGUCGCAAGAUUAAAACUCAAAUGAAUUGACGGGGUCAUAGCUGUUUCCU
rnacentral:rRNA from 1 species